UGGGGGUUGAGAGAGAGAGAAGAAGUCGGCCAGCCCUAUCCUUUGCUAGGGGCAUUUUUGUCCACUCGCAAAAAGACUGACAAGUCUAAGCAAUUGUUUCACGGUCUAGGCUUACAGGAGCAACGGGAGUGUCAUAUUAGGGAAGAAAUUUUGCAUUAGUAUCAAAUAGGUACGUUGAAAAAUUUGAGGGCCAAAUAAGCAAGGCUUCAUUUUAGUGGUGUCAUAUAGGGAAUUUUCUCAUAUUGAUAACAAUAAAAGAAAAGGUUAAGCCCGUGAGGAGAAUAACAACUAGGGUUGUCAAUAACAUAUGAAGGACGAGGGCACUGACAAACACUAAUUUCCACCAUCAGAAAUGCUACAAUUAUCGUCAGAAGUACUUCAAAUGCAUCACUUGUGUUGUGAGCAACUUGCAAAAUCUAUGGCUUAUAUAUAACCCCAAG
rnacentral:lncRNA from 1 species